UACGAAGGGGGCUAGCGUUGCUCGGAAUCACUGGGCGUAAAGGGUGCGUAGGCGGCUUUCUAAGUUGGAUGUGAAAACUCUGGGCUCAACCCAGAGACUGCAUCCAAAACUGGAGAGCUUGGGUUCUGGAGGGGAAAGCGGAAUUCCUGGUGUAGCGGUGGAAAUGACGUAGAUAUCAGGAGGAACACCGGUGGCGAAGGCGGCUUUUUGGACAGAUACCGACGCUGAGGCACGAAAGCUAGGGGAGCAAACAGG
rnacentral:rRNA from 1 species